UACGUAGGGGGCAAGCGUUAUCCGGAUUUAUUGGGCGUAAAGAGCGUGUAGGCGGCUCGAUAAGUCCGCUCUGAAAGCCCGGGGCUCAACCCCGGGAGGCGGGCGGAUACUGUCGAGCUAGAGUCCGGAAGAGGCGAGUGGAAUUCCUGGUGUAGCGGUGAAAUGCGCAGAUAUCAGGAGGAACACCAAUGGCGAAGGCAGCUCGCUGGGACGGUACUGACGCUCAUGCACGAAAGCGUGGGGAGCAAACAGG
rnacentral:rRNA from 1 species